AAAAAGAACUAAGCACCUAUCAAUAAAUUAGCUCUAAAAGCAGUUUCCUUCCAGAAAUUUCAUGUGGCUUCCAUUACACCCGACUGAGCCAUCACAAAUUUCCAGCUUUUUGCUGAAAGAAGCCAAUCAGGUUCAAGAAGUUCAUGCAUUAAUCUCAUUAAAUGCAGCAACAUUCAGGAUUAUAUAACCUGCAUCAUUAAAAAUAGCAGAAGUACUAUAGUAAGUUCUAGAAUUAAAAACCCAAAAAGAGUAAUAACCUUUAAAAAAGCUCAAAAAUGUCUCGUGGAAAAACUAAAAAGCUACUUUUAAGGUUAAUUUUAGUUCUUUAGUCCUUUUUUUCACUCUUCAAAAGGUAGCCG
rnacentral:lncRNA from 1 species